GCCAGGCCCUAGGGCCUAGUGAAUCCAAAGGGCACAGCCAAAGCCCUGCCUACAGUUGAUUGUCCUCUGCCCUUUCUGCACAUUCUCUUGGGCUGAGGCUGGCACUAGGAAUCAGAGUUGGUUUUUGUCCUUGGGGGAAUGACUAGGGGCUUUCCCAGGGACAAGAGAAGCUGUUGGCUUUGGCCAUUAAGGUUUUGUCAGUUCUCCUGUGAUCAGACAUCUGGGGGUCAGUCUCUGGGUUUAUAACCCAUCACCCGAAUUCAUAUCUUGUCUCUACUACUUGCUUCCAAGCUGUGGGCCUUGGAAGAGUUGCUUCUACUUUAAAAAACCUCAGUUUAAGCCUGGCAUGGUGGACACAUCUGUAAUCCCAGAGACUCAGGAGGCUGAGGUGGGAGGACAACAAGUUUGAGGCCAGCCUCAGCAACUCAGUGAGACCCUGUUUCAAAGUUUUAAAAAAAUAAUUUAAAAAAGGCUGGGUGGGUAGCUCAGUGGUAGAGAGUCCUAAGUUCAAUCCUCAGUAACAAAAAACAAAACAAACAAACAAAAGAAAGAAAGAAAGAAAAAGGAAGCCUCAAUUUUCCUUCAAUAGAGAACCGGAAAGGUCGCCCACCAAAGCUUGAUGUGAAAACCCAAGUAGAAAGCACAGACCAUUUCUGGUGGUGUGCAGGUACUAAUUGUUGAGUGACUAAAUGAUUCCCAGGUCCCCCCACCCCAUCACUGCC
rnacentral:lncRNA from 1 species